rnacentral:rRNA from 2 species
CGCGGCCUAUCAGCUUGUUGGUGAGGUUAUGGCUUACCAAGGCGACGACGGGUAGCCGGCCUGAGAGGGUGUCCGGCCACACUGGGACUGAGAUACGGCCCAGACUCCUACGGGAGGCAGCAGUGGGGAAUAUUGCACAAUGGGCGCAAGCCUGAUGCAGCGACGCCGCGUGAGGGAUGACGGCCUUCGGGUUGUAAACCUCUUUCAGUACAGACGAAGCGUAAGUGACGGUAUGUACAGAAGAAGCACCGGCCAACUACGUGCCAGCAGCCGCGGUAAUACGUAGGGUGCGAGCGUUGUCCGGAAUUACUGGGCGUAAAGAGCUCGUAGGUGGUUUGUCGCGUUGUUCGUGAAAACCUGAGGCUUAACCUUGGGCGUGCGGGCGAUACGGGCAGACUGGAGUACUGCAGGGGAGACUGGAAUUCCUGGUGUAGCGGUGGAAUGCGCAGAUAUCAGGAGGAACACCGGUGGCGAAGGCGGGUCUCUGGGCAGUAACUGACGCUGAGGAGCGAAAGCGUGGGGAGCGAACAGGAUUAGAUACCCUGGUAGUCCACGCCGUAAACGGUGGGUACUAGGUGUGGGUUUCCUUCCUUGGGAUCCGUGCCGUAGCUAACGCAUUAAGUACCCCGCCUGGGGAGUACGG